rnacentral:tRNA from 1 species
CGCGACGUAGAGCAGCUCGGUAGCUCGCUGGGCUCAUAACCCAGAGGUCGCAGGUUCAAAUCCUGCCGUCGCAA